CCUGCCACUGUACCUGUCUUGUAGUGCAUUGACUAGUACAGUCCAGAGGUGAGCUGACAGAAAAUGCCAACUUCGGAAACAGAGUUAUUCAUCUUUGGGGUAACUUUGUGCCAGAGUUGGGGAGCAGGU
rnacentral:snoRNA from 1 species